rnacentral:rRNA from 1 species
UACGUAGGGGGCGAGCGUUGUCCGGAUUUAUUGGGCGUAAAGAGCGUGUAGGCGGCCAGGUAGGUCCGUUGUGAAAACUCGAGGCUCAACCUCGAGACGUCGGCGGAAACCCUCUGGCUAGAGUCCGGAAGAGGAGAGUGGAAUUCCUGGUGUAGCGGUGAAAUGCGCAGAUAUCAAGAGGAACACCUGAGGUGAAGACGGGUUGCUGGGCCAACACUGACGCUGAGGCGCGAAAGCCAGGGGAGCAAACGGG